rnacentral:sRNA from 14 species
GACACAGGUAGUGGUACUUCCAUGUAAUAAUGGAAUGGGGUUCAACUCCCUGCUGUGUC